UACGGAGGGGACUAGCGUUGUUCGGAAUUACUGGGCGUAAAGCGCACGUAGGCGGAUUUGUAAGUCAGGGGUGAAAUCCCGGGGCUCAACCUCGGAACUGCCUUUGAUACUGCAAAUCUCGAGUCCGGAAGAGGUGAGUGGAACUGCGAGUGUAGAGGUGAAAUUCGUAGAUAUUCGCAAGGACACCAGUGGCGAAGGCGGCUCACUGGCCCGAAUCUGACGCUGAGGCGCGAAAGCGUGGGGAGCAAACAGG
rnacentral:rRNA from 1 species